GUUUUAUGUUAUUUGAAGUUUGAUUUCACAUUUAUUUGAUUUUUAAUGCAUUUUCUUUUUAAUUUUUGCGCCUUGCCUCACUCAGUUGUGUGUCUUGCACCUAGGCUCCAAGAUUCUUGGCACCGUAGUGCGCAUUGAGCCUUUAAUAACUAGGUUUGUAUGCAUCAAUAUCUGUAGGUUUGUCUACUGCGAGGAGAGUAAUCCAUUAUGAAAUUAUUUUAAUUGUUUUCAUUUUUCCCUCAUUUUAGCACCAUACUCAAUUUAGCUGGUUUACUUAUCAUACAGCUUGCGUAGAAUGCACAUGCAUAAGUUGCCAAUAUGAGAAAUAUGGUCAAGUUCUGUAUUAUGAAUAAUUUCAGAUGCUGGGUAUAGGAACAGCUUCACAAAAUCUUUCCUGUUAGCAAAAUUGGUUAAUGCUCUGUCAACACUGCAGGUCAAUCCUGAUUUUGCAUGGAGCUGCAGUCACUUGCUCAACCAUGACCUUAUCAAGAGAAGAGCCUUAGUAAAUUGUUUAGAAAUGUUAUAUCAUUCUACAAGCUUUUGAUUUUGGCAAAAAUUGGUUGUUAAUGGUGGUUGAAAUUGCAGUUAGAGCAAGAUCUGUUAUCAUUGUACUACCAUGUGGUGCCAGAAAGUCCUUAGUUGGUGUUUCUG
rnacentral:misc_RNA from 1 species